GGAACUUCACGGCUAGCUGCUUCUUGAGGAUGCGCCGUUGCUGGGGGUCGGGAAGGAAAUAAAUGCAAGCACUGAAUUUAUCAUCUCUCACCUGGUAGUUUCGGAACCAGAUCCUGUUGUCAAGGACGGAGAACGUGUAGAUGUGGUCGAAAAAUGGCUGGCUCUUGGGGUGAAGAUUAGGAGUGCUGAAUAUCUGCCGUGCAAAAGAUGUCAGAAUGUUGCAACUUCAUCGCACCCUGGACGAAAGUUGGUCAGCAGAAAAUCUGUGUGCUUGGUGACGUCAUGAAAUUUGAUCUGAGCUUGAAUUAUCUCUGGCGUGCC